rfam:Beauveria bassiana D1-5 contig00012, whole genome shotgun sequence.
CCUGCUGCUGGGUCGCCUGUAGCAGG